AGGCCAGAAAGAGAACAGACAGAGAAGAGCAUUCAGUCUGUUUACUCCAAGGGCGUCACACCGUGCCAAUAUCCAGAGCUUCCUAAAAGCAAAUGUUCAAACUGCAGUUUCUGGACACACUGUCCUAGAAGUUGAACAGAUCCUUCAAGCCCAUGCACCAAGAAAUUCUGAAAAUAAAUAACUAGGUACUGCAAACCUACUGCACUCCCAUCACAGAAAUCUUUCAAAUUACAAAUCCCCUAAUUAGGCGCGGAAAAGAACACCGCACUCUUCCCUAAGAAAACCGACACCUCGUUGACCAAAGAGAAAGGAAAGCAAGUUCAUCUCCAACAUCCAAACCACAAAGCCAGGUUUCUACUAAAUAAAGUCCUCAAAUACACUCUAAUCUGAGAUGAGAGCAGAUGCUUCACCAGCUCCAAAAUCCGCCCGACGUUCUUGCCGCCUGGAGGCCCCCACGUUCCCCUCCAGGCUUGGCCUCCCACGCUCGCCCUCGUUCCUGCGACUCUCGGUCCCCGUCGACACCAAAGGAGGAGGCCGCCAAGGCAUCCCCGCUGCAAGCCCG
rnacentral:lncRNA from 1 species